rnacentral:rRNA from 1 species
GAUGAACGCUGGCGGCGUGCCUAAUACAUGCAAGUCGAGCGAACGGACGAGAAGCUUGCUUCUCUGAUGUUAGCGGCGGACGGGUGAGUAACACGUGGAUAACCUACCUAUAAGACUGGGAUAACUUCGGGAAACCGGAGCUAAUACCGGAUAAUAUUUUGAACCGCAUGGUUCAAAAGUGAAAGACGGUCUUGCUGUCACUUAUAGAUGGAUCCGCGCUGCAUUAGCUAGUUGGUAAGGUAACGGCUUACCAAGGCAACGAUGCAUAGCCGACCUGAGAGGGUGAUCGGCCACACUGGAACUGAGACACGGUCCAGACUCCUACGGGAGGCAGCAGUAGGGAAUCGUACGCAAUGGGAGAAAGCAUGACGGAGCAACGCCGCGUGAGUGAUGAAGGUCUUCGGAUCGUAAAACUCUGUUAUGAGGGAAGAACAUAUGUGUAAGUAACUGUGCACAGCGUGACGGUACCUAAUCAGAAAGCCACGGCUAACUACGUG